CUUUACUACUCUUCAAGUAAUAGACCUCUGUCCUGUUAAUGAAAAAAUCCCAAUGAAAUAUACCAACAAUGUUAUGUUGAUUAAGAUCUGGAAAAUGCCUGUGGGGAAGGAAGUGACUGCCAAUGAUUUAGAGGUGAAUGUAACCCUCAGGCUUGCCCAGCUCGUGUUUGUCCAGCGGAAACAGCCAAACUGGCUAGGAGUGGUGCUCUUGCUUAAAUGGAAGGAUGUCAUUCCACCUACUCAAGCUUAAUGGUUACAUGAUGUUAUGUCAUGCUUAAAUUUAGAGAUCUGUUGUUCAAUUUCUGAAUCUAUUCAAGACUUUCAAACAUCGUGGGGACAAUUUUUGAACUGUAUUUUCAAAACCUUUGAUUUGCUGUUAAAGUACAGAUGUUGGCUAAUAUUUCAAUAUAUGAUGAGGAUUUUUUCCUUUUUUCUUUCUUUACCAAACAGCUUCAAUCUUGGUAGUGGACUUAGAUUUUUUUUUGAAUUAUA